rnacentral:rRNA from 1 species
AUGCAAGUCGAGCGAACCGACGGGAGCUUGCUCCCUUAGGUCAGCGGCGGACGGGUGAGUAACACGUGGGUAACCUGCCUGUAAGACUGGGAUAACUCCGGGAAACCGGGGCUAAUACCGGAUGCUUGAUUGAACCGCAUGGCUCAAUCAUAAAAGGUGGCUUUUAGCUACCACUUGCAGAUGGACCCGCGGCGCAUUAGCUAGUUGGUGAGGUAACGGCUCACCAAGGCGACGAUGCGUAGCCGACCUGAGAGGGUGAUCGGCCACACUGGGACUGAGACACGGCCCAGACUCCUACGGGAGGCAGCAGUAGGGAAUCUUCCGCAAUGGACGAAAGUCUGACGGAGCAACGCCGCGUGAGUGAUGAAGGUUUUCGGAUCGUAAAACUCUGUUGUUAGGGAAGAACAAGUACCGUUCGAAUAGGGCGGUACCUUGACGGUACCUAACCAGAAAGCCACGGCUAACUACGUGCCAGCAGCCGCGGUAAUACGUAGGUGGCAAGCGUUGUCCGGAAUUAUUGGGCGUAAAGCGCGCGCAGGCGGUUUCUUAAGUCUGAUGUGAAAGCCCCCGGCUCAACCGGGGAGGGUCAUUGGAAACUGGGGAACUUGAGUGCAGAAGAGGAGAGUGGAAUUCCACGUGUAGCGGUGAAAUGCGUAGAGAUGUGGAGGAACACCAGUGGCGAAGGCGACUCUCUG